GCCUAGCCCUUACAAGGUAACAAACCACAUCAGUUACUCGCCAAACCAUUAUGAGUGAAAACUUAAAACUUAAAGGACUUGACGGUACUUCAUACUCAACCUAGAGGAGCCUGUCUACUAACCGAUAAUCCACGAUUAACCCAACCACUUCUAGCCCCACAGUCUAUAUACCGCCGUCGCCAGCCCACCUUGUGAAAGAAACAAAAUGAGCUAAACAGUCAUACACUAACACGACAGGUCGAGGUGUAACUAAUGGAGUGGACCAAGAUGGGCUACAUUUUCUAAUAUAGAACACACGAACAAAGUCAUGAAACCAACCUUAGAAGGUGGAUUUAGCAGUAAGAUGAGAACAUAACGCUCAACUGAAACUAUUGCAAUGAAGUGCGUACACACCGCCCGUCAUCCCUGUCAAAAAUCAACUAAAACUACAUAAAUCCAUAAUAAUUUAAUAAAGCAGGGCAAGUCGUAACAUGGUAAGCGUACUGGAAAGUGCGCUUAGAAA
rnacentral:rRNA from 1 species